GACGAACGCUGGUGGCGUGCUUAACACAUGCAAGUCGAACGGAAAGGCCUCUUUCGGGGGGUACUCGAGUGGCGAACGGGUGAGUAACACGUGAGUAACCUGCCCUUGACUUUGGGAUAACUUCAGGAAACUGGGGCUAAUACCGGAUAGGAGCUCCUGCUGCAUGGUGGGGGUUGGAAAGUUUCGGCGGUUGGGGAUGGACUCGCGGCUUAUCAGCUUGUUGGUGGGGUAGUGGCUUACCAAGGCUUUGACGGGUAGCCGGCCUGAGAGGGUGACCGGCGACAUUGGGACUGAGAUGCGGCCCAGACUCCUACGGGAGGCAGCAGUGGGGAAUAUUGCACAAUGGGUGGAGGCCUGAUGCAGCAACGCCGUGUGCGGGAUGACGGCCUUCGGGUUGUAAACCGCUUUCGCUCAUGACGAAGCUUUGUGUGACGGUAGUGAGUAAAGAAGCACCGGCUAACUACGUG
rnacentral:rRNA from 1 species